GAUGAACGCUGGCGGCGUGCCUAAUACAUGCAAGUCGAGCGAACAGACGAGGAGCUUGCUCCUCUGACGUUAGCGGCGGACGGGUGAGUAACACGUGGAUAGCCUACCUAUAAGACUGGGAUAACUUCGGGAAGCCGGAGCUAAUACCGGAUAAUAUAUUGAACCGCAUGGUUCAAUAGUGAAAGACGGUUUUGCUGUCACUUAUAGAUGGAUCCGCGCCGCAUUAGCUAGUUGGUAAGGUAACGGCUUACCAAGGCAACGAUGCGUAGCCGACCUGAGAGGGUGAUCGGCCACACUGGAACUGAGACACGGUCCAGACUCCUACGGGAGGCAGCAGUAGGGAAUCUUCCGCAAUGGGCGAAAGCCUGACGGAGCAACGCCGCGUGAGUGAUGAAGGUCUUCGGAUCGUAAAACUCUGUUAUUAGGGAAGAACAAAUGUGUAAGUAACUAUGCACGUCUUGACGGUACCUAAUCAGAAAGCCACGGCUAACUACGUG
rnacentral:rRNA from 1 species